AGCGGCCGCAGCGCCCAGCGAGAGACCGUUCGCGAUGCAGCAGCGCCGGGUGAAGCCCCCAGGCCCGCCCGGAGGAGGCGGCGUCGGUGGACGGAGAGGCAGAAGUCGGGACAGCGGCACCUGUACCCCUCGGAGGGCGGACGCAGUGGAGCCGGAGAAGCUCCUCGCGGGGACCACAUUGCAGUAAUUAUUUGAGUAUGAGUCUUAGAUCUUUUUGUUGGACCCCAGAGUUCCUGCAGGAAAACAAAUCUGUAUGACAGGGCCCUAAUGGAUCCAUAUUCCCAGCCCCAUGAGGUUGAGCAAUGCAGUGUGAAGGGAAGCUGAGCGCACCACUUCCAGAUGGAAGCCCUUAGGAGAUGGUGCUGACUCCCCUCAGCAUGAAGCAAUACCUUGCACUCCUAAGUAAAGACAACACAGAACAGCACUCACCACUGACAUGGACAUGUUGCAGGAGCAAGGAAGACAAACAAGCAAACAAAAUCCAAACCUUAUGUUGCUGAAAGCCUCUGAGAUUUUUAAGGAUUUUUGUUACUGCAACACAUUCUACUCUAUCUUAAAUAAUAACCAGAGUCUAUUUAUAUGUGAGAAUCAAAUGAUGCCAUUUCUUUACAUAACUUACUCUCAUUCCUACUUAUUAUUUAAUCCACAGAAAGAUCAAAGAUGUGAACAGUAAUAUACUGUGAUGAUCCUGCUGGCUCUGCCUGUAUCUUCAGCAGGAAUGUCUAGGGAAAGGAAUUUAGUCCAUCAGCAUUAAAAUUGUGAAUUUGGGUGAGAAAAAAAAAAUGAAUAGCUGAGACAGGGUGAAGAAAAACAUGAGAAAUGCAUUUAGUUUGGAAGAGGAUUCUAUCUGAAAAGAGUUAGUGCCUAAGGCCCGACAGACUCAUGUUGCUGUUACUUUAUUUUUUUCAGAAGAUAGGAAGAAGCAGAAAUGACUACAUCAUAUGCAGUCCAAUAAAUCUGAUCAUUUUUGGAGCAGAGGACUUAUUAGUUAUUGAGUCCCAACUGCACACUUUAGUUAGUACUGUGGAGAUCUAAAAGGGAGGCCUGGGCAGGAAUUCCUUCUCUCCAGGUUCUUCCCUCUCAGGUUGGUCUUGAGGUCACUGAUUUCAGAUACCAUUAGGCAGGUUCAACGUAUAUUCAAAUUUGUUUCCCCCAUGUUUUCAUGUAGAUGGUGUAAAAAAUAAUUUCUUAAAGAUAUUAAUUAGCUCAAGUGGAUUCAAACUAUGCACUAUAGGUGUUCUCAGGAGAAAGAAAAAGGAAGGUAAAUUGAGUAGUUACUUAUGUGUGUGUGUGUAUACAUUAUAUACUGAAGGCACACCCAACAGAUGCACAUAAUUACAAUAGUCCCAUUAUAAAAAUAUUCACCUUGUCUUCAUAUUGAAGAGAAUGAAAAAGAAAAGUAUCAGUGGCAUUUCCAAGUUUUCAUAUCAAGUCCCUAGUUUUGGAAAAUUUGAAAUCAAAGAUUUAAUAACUGGUCAAAUUCUCACAGUGAUUAAAAAUAUCAUAUACCUUACUUUUAAUUUAAUGAACUAGCUCACAUCAACUCUUAUAUUCUAUCCUUUAUUUCUAUUUAUGAUACUAAAACUGAGACUUUAUGAUAUAUGUUCCUUGCUCUUUAUAAAAUUCAAUAUAUCCAGAUAUGUUUUUUGCAUAUAACUAAAACAUUUAUUACAAACAUCCUUUAAAUAGUAAGCCCUGGAUGAAUUUAAAUGCUGAUGGUCCAUCAACUGAUUCACAGAGAAUCUUGAAGGGCAAAAACUGAUGAAGGUGUUAUAUGGAGCAGUGCCAAUUGCAAAUCAAUCAGAAAUGCAAAUAAAAUAGCUCUCCUACUGCAAGUCAAUGUAAUUAGGUUUGCCCUUAUUUGAUUUGCACAAAACUUUUCAGAAAUUUGCCUACUGAAUAAAUGACACAUAUGCAUAAAAUUAAUCGAAAAGUCUAGUGUUUGUAUGCUCUGCCUCCAGGCUGCAAAUUUCUCAAAUUAAUUUCUAAAUUUGCCAAGACAUGUUUUCAGUCAAAUGAGAAUAACCAUUCUUACACAAAAUUGCACGAACAUGUUAAACUAUUUAUGCAUUUUCAAUUUCGGAAAACUCCUCAGCCACACCCCAUCAUCUAGCUUCCAACUUGAAACUUCUCAUCUAUCCUUCCUAUUUUUUCCUGUACUUCAGUCCUAUCUUUCUGACUCCAAACAGAACACAUUUACUAAUUCUCAAUCUUCAAAUAGCAUGUAUUCUUUCAAAGCCUUUUUAUGGAAUACUAAUCUUGUAGGCACUGGGCUAGGUGUGGGAAAGACAGCACUAACCAAAUAAUACUUUCCUAAUAUCAUUUAGAUUCCAAUCUAAAACCAACUCUAAAUUUCCUCCAUUGGAUAAAAACUCUCCAAUUGUUCCUGUGACUUGAAAAAAAAAUUUAGGCACUAUUACCUGAAAUUAUUAUUUUACUUUUUUCUUUCUCUUCAAUCUGCCCCUAAGUAGUACUUUUUUCAGCAUUUUUAUCUUUGUCGUUAAUAUAUGAGAAAAAAAUGCUAUUGAACAGCUAUCACAUGUCAAGAACUGUUCUAGGUUGUAGAAAUAUAAGAAUAAAAACCAAAACAAAAAAAGCUUACCUAUUACAGGGAGAGAGAUAGACAAUAAAUAAAAAUAAAGUGGUUAAGAAAGCUAUGAAAAAAAGAAAUGCAUGAAAAGACUAGGGAGGGUGAUUGUGGGGGUUAAUUUUAACAAAGAAGACCCUCCUUGCCCUUUGUAUAAUGUAGAGUAUUUCUGGUGCCUUAUUACCUUAUGCUUGAAUGAGUAUAAUCUGUGGUCUCCCUGACUUUCCUAUCUCAUCCUCCUAGCUGUCUUUUUUAAUCCUUCCAGACUACUCUUCAGAAGACACUGGGUGUAAUUAUCACAUUUCACUUUUUAUAAAAUGACUUCCAAUUGAUUCUAUGCUAAAGAUAUCAACUCUAAAAUUUUAUCUCAUUAUCUGGUCCUCCUUAAGUUAUGUCAACAACUUCCCACUCCUCCCUGGUGCUGACUCCCAAGUCUGUCCUCUUCUUCCCAUGUCUUUAUUCAAGCUGAUCUCCUGUCUUGGAAUUCUCUACCCUUUCCUUUCCAAUAUCUCCCUUCCCUUCUCCUAAACUUCCACUCAAGCCUCAGUUUUCUCCUGAAGUUUUUCUGUCUAACCUUGGAUUUGGAGAGAGUCUUUUCUCCAAAGUUCUAUAAAAAGAAGAUUGAAAACCAAAAAUUUAGAUCUUUAUCUUACCCUAACUUAUAUCACUCUUUAACUAUUGUGUGACAGUCUCCAGUCCUGCUUCAGCUGGUAGGACUUCAGCUCAGCACUGACAAAGACCAGUGCUCAUCACUUGGUAUCUUUGUCCCCUGAGAACAGGCAUAACGUGUUCUCAUGCUCUUUUAAAUAUCCCUCAUUGUCUACAACAAGAGCUCCAUAAAAACAGUCUUUUGAUUAUGAAUACAUUUCUUGUUUGUUUAUGUUUUUAAAACAGAAAAUCUGGAGACUAUUUCUUAGGUUUAUAAAUUUCUGACCUCCUUCUUCUAAUUAACCUUGAAGUCCCACUUGAAAUAUUCUGCCUCUUAGAGGUUCCAUAUAUCACCAUCUAUCUCCAGUGAAUAAUUUGGCUUCCCACAUCAGAAGAUUCCACUAAAUAAUGAAGUUACAAAAAUGUAACCCCAGAGAGCACUUACAUUAUUUAGAUUAUUUUCUUUUAUUCACUGUUGGAACUUCCUUUAAUCCUGCAGUGCCUCCUAGAAUGCAUAGUUCAUUUUAAAUUAUAACACAUUAUGUAAGUCAUACCAAAAUCCACCCAUUACCUUCAUAUGCCAAAGAUCCUAAAAUAAAUUUGUUUUUUUGAAAACUUUUCAUAGAAAAUUGUGAUGAUAUUUUGCCAUCCUUGAUACUCAGUCUCCUAGUUCCCCAACAUCCCAUGGUGUAAAACUCUGGGCAAAUAUCUGCCUACUACUCUUCACUUUGUGAGAAAGAUGAAGGCAAGACAAUCUUCAUGGGACCCAGCUUCCUGUAACCACAGAGACCAAAGAAUCUGAACACUAAAGUGCCUUCUAACUGGGUCCAGGUGCCGCGUUUUGUGUAGCUGAUCUGCCCAUGAGUGAUUCCUCUUUGCGUAGUGUUUAAGAUGCACGCAAAUAGCCAGAUUGUUUUUGUUGUUUUCUGUGCUCUUGGCUACUUCAUUCUAAUAUUAUCGCAUAUAGAAAUAAAAGCUUUAAAUCUU